rnacentral:rRNA from 1 species
AAAUCUGGCUCCUUCGGAGUCCGAGUUGUAAUUUGUAGAAGAUGCUUUGGGUUGCAGGUUCGGUCUAAGUUCCUUGGAACAGGGCGUCAUAGAGGGUGAGAAUCCCGUCUGCGGCCGUGACCUGUGCCCGUGUAAAGCUCUUUCGACGAGUCGAGUUGUUUGGGAAUGCAGCUCAAAAUGGGUGGUAAAUUUCAUCUAAAGCUAAAUAUUGGCCAGAGACCGAUAGCGCACAAGUAGAGUGAUCGAAAGAUGAAAAGCACUUUGGAAAGAGAGUUAAACAGUACGUGAAAUUGUUGAAAGGGAAGCGCUUGCAACCAGACUUGGGCGUCGUGGAUCAUCCGAGGUUCUCCUCGGUGCACUCGACGACGCACAGGCCAGCAUCGGUUUGGAUGGCUGGAAAAAGGCCCUAGAAAUGUAGCUCCUCGCGGGGAGUGUUAUAGUCUAGGGCGUAAUGCAGCCCAUCUGGACCGAGGACCGCGCUUCGGCUAGGAUGCUGGCGUAAUGGUUGUAAGCGACCCG